ACUCCUACGGGAGGCAGCAGUGGGGAAUAUUGCACAAUGGGGGAAACCCUGAUGCAGCCAUGCCGCGUGUGUGAAGAAGGCCUUAGGGUCGUAAAGCUCUUUCGCCUGUGAUGAUAAUGACAGUAGCAGGUAAAGAAACCCCGGCUAACUCCGUGCCAGCAGCCGCGGUAAUACGGAGGGGGUUAGCGUUGUUCGGAAUUACUGGGCGUAAAGCGCGCGGUAGGCGGAUUAGUCAGUUAGAGGUGAAAUCCCAGGGCUCAACCCUGGAACUGCCUUUAAUACUGCUAGUCUUGAGUUCGAGAGAGGUGAGUGGAAUUCCGAGUGUAGAGGUGAAAUUCGUAGAUAUUCGGAGGAACACCAGUGGCGAAAGGCGGCUCACUGGCUCGAUACUGACGCUGAGGUGCGAAAGUGUGGGGAGCAAACAGGAUUAGAUACCCUGGUAGGAUAG
rnacentral:rRNA from 1 species